AAGUCUCUGUCCUACGUCCGAGUUCCACUAAGCAAGUUUUGAGAUCGUUUUAAAAACAAAAACUUGACACGUUGAGCUCGUUCGUGGGAUGGACUACUGCAAUUC
rnacentral:pre_miRNA from 16 species